AUCUUCCGCAAUGGACGCAAGUCUGACGGAGCAACGCCGCGUGAGUGAUGAAGGUGUUCGGAUCGUAAAACUCUGUUGUUAGGGAAGAACAAGUAUCGGAGUCACUGCCGGUAACUUGACGGUAGCUGUCGAGAAAGCCACGGCUAAAUACGUGCCAGCAGCCGCGGGAAUACGUAGGGGGGAAGAGUUGUCCGGAGUUAUUGGGCGUAAAGCGCGCGCAGGCGUUCUUUUAAUUCUGAUGUGAAAUCUUACAGCUUAACUGUAAGCGGUCAUUGGAAACUGGGAGACUUGAGUGCAGAAGAGGAGAGUGGAAUUCCAUGUGUAGCGGUGAAAUGCGUAGAGAUAUGGAGGAACCCCAGUUGCGAAGGCGACUCUCUGGUCUGUAACUGACGCUGAGGCGCGAAAGCGUGGGGAUCAAACA
rnacentral:rRNA from 1 species